rnacentral:tRNA from 1 species
CGUAGCUUAAACCUUAAAGCAUAACACUGAA